CCUCGUGCAGACGCAAUCCGACCGGAUUUAGCUGUUAUAGGCUGAUAGAUCCUCUGAGGAUGUGCAAAAGGUUUUAUAGUCCUUCAGAGAACUGUUCAUUUAAGUGUUUUAAUGUUCUACUUCGGAGUCUAUUUUAGCACCUCUGUUUCCUUUGCCACUAAUUAUAUAGAAGCACACCUGAGCUACAGGAGCUUCCUGCAUUCACCAUCACCUGAGCUCAGGUCAUGGCCAGAUCCACCUACGCUUCCGUUGGACUCAGGGAUCAAGGCAGAGGUCAAGCCAAUGCAGGAGAAAGCUACUGAAGUGCAGGAAGAACACACAAACUCCACACACAGGGCAUAGAAGAAAAAUCACACCACCAAGAUGCCAAAAAAUGGGAUUUCCGCCUGUUUUGGUGCCAAUUUUCAUCCGGGAAUUUUUUCAUUCCACAUUCCACAGUGGUGGAUUAUGGCUCAUAUGAAAGUAGAUACACUGGCAAAAUUUUCAUAGAAAAGUUAAUAAAUAAAUAAAUA